rnacentral:misc_RNA from 1 species
GGAAGUAAAAUUCGUAACAAGGUUUCCGUAGGUGAACCUGCGGAAGGAUCAUUAUUGUAUAACCGAGGUGCGAGGGCUGUCGCUGACCCGAAAGGUCGUGCACGCCCGAGUGCCCUCACACACAUCCAUCUCACCCCUAUGUGCACCACCGCGUGGGUCCCCCUUUGGCUUGUUCGGAGGGGGGCUUACGUUUUCACACAAACUUUGUAUGCAGUGUAGAAUGUAUUUUUUGUUUUUGCGAUCACGCAAUCAAUACAACUUUCAACAACGGAUCUCUUGGCUCUC